GCAGAAGAAGAAGCAAAUGAAGAUGCAAAUGAAGAAGCAAAUGAAGAGUGUAAAUAUAAUAGAACUAACAGUGAUAACUUAUUAAAUAUAGACAGUUUAAAAAAAAAAGAAAGUGUUAUUGUUAGUGAAAAUGAAGAAAUUAAAUCAAAUGAGAUGUUAAACAAUGAGGAAAGUAAUAAUACGAAAUAUAAGUUGGAGUCUGUUGUUGAAAGUAAUGAAAAGUUAUUAGUUAGUGGAGAGGAACAUAAGAAAAUGGAUAUUCAAGUUAAAGAAGAUUGUAAUGAUAAUAAAAUAGAUUUUGUAAAAGCAGACCAAGUAAUUGAAUCUAAUGGAAUUGAAGAGAAUGAUAACAAAAAAGAAUCAAUAGCAAUGACAACAAUUAAAACUGAAUCUUCGAAUACAAAUAUGAAUGUUAUUACUACUAAAACUGCUACAGCUACAAAUGGUGAUGAUAAUGGUUUAACUAAUGUAUCAAACGAAAACAAAGAAGCGAGCAAAAAAUUAUUGUUAGAAUGGGAUGAUUUAAGUGUAACUACAAAAUUAAGAAUAAUAAGAAUAUUAUUAAAUUUAGUAUUAAUAGAAAGUGCAAAUUUAAAAAAAUCUUUAUUAACAGUUAAUGUAGAUUUUAAUACAGGUUAUAUUGGUAAUCUUGGUCAUAAUAAAUAUUGGAUUAUUGUAAAUGAAAAUGAAUCUGUUAUAGAACAUAAAUUAUAUAUCGAAAAAGAAGAUACUGGUGUUUUUGAAUUAUUGUGUAAUGACGAUGAUGAUAAUUUACACAGUAUUGGUUAUCAUUUAACAUUAAAUUCUGAUAGUAAAUGGUUAGGAAAUAAAAUACUUGAAAGGUAUUAUAAAAUACAUAGAGAAAAAAGAAAUAGAAGUAAAAUAUUGAGACAACAAAAAAAAGUAAGUGGAUUAUUAAAUAUAAAUAAUGAACAGAUCAUAUUAAAUAAAAAAAGACAACAUAAAAAAGUAGAUUAUUUUAAUUUUGAAAAUGAACAACUAAGUAAUAAUAAUAAUAAAAAAAAAAAUGAUACUAUUUAUGGUAGUAAUAAUAAUAAUAAUAUAUAUUCACAAAAAGGAAAUAAUCAAUACAAUCAAAAUAAUUAUCAAAAAAAUGAUAGAUCUCAUAGAUUAGCUGCUAGAAAUGCAUUAAAAGGUCAAACAGAUCAAUUUGGUAGUGGUGAUACUAGUCAAUUUGAAAAAAUUGAAUUUUCUAACUGGAAUAAAACUGAUAAUAUUACAUCAGACAAUUCUGGUUUAAUUAAUAAUAAUAUAAAUAGUAUCGAUUAUAACAAUAUGAAUGGAAUAGAAGAUGUUACUUCUUAUGGGAGUAAGGUUCGUGGUGUUACAAAAGGUGAUAGUAUGUCUAAAGGUAAUGUAGACCAAUUUAAUAAUAUAAAUGUAAGUGGUACUGGUAAUACAAAUUAUAUAAAUAAUAUUAUUCCUGUAAAAAUACCACUAAAACGGGGAAGAAAAAAAAAAUCAGAGAAAAAGAAAAGAGGAAGAAAAAAGAAAAUUCUUAUCGAAAAUGACAAUAAUAAUAACGACAAUAAUAAUGAUAAUGUUGAAAAGAAAGAAGUUAAAGCAAAAAGGAAAACAUAUACUAAAAGAAAUAUAAAACCCGUUGUUAGUAUUAAAUAUGGAACUAGAAGUACUUCAGUAAGUAAACUACAUAAUAAUUAUAUGUCAAAUGAUUAUAUGUCAAAUGAUUAUAUGUCAAAUGAUUAUAUACAAAAUAAUAAUAUGCAAAAUAAUUAUAUGCAUAAUAAUAAUAUGCAUAAUAAUAAUAAUAUGCAAAAUAAUAAUAUG
ensembl:lncRNA